CUGGCGCAGAGGUAUCCCGCCCGAGGGAGACCGAAGCGCGAGAACCAAAUCUCGGGAUACGCUCGUAGAUGCUCAUGUGCGCUGUUCUCUGGACCGGGGUUCGAGUCCCCGCGCCUCCACCA
rnacentral:tmRNA from 1 species